CUCUACUGAAGCACUACUUUAUAAACUCACACAGUUAUGAGCAUGAGAACAAGAGAUAGAAGAAGGAGAGAGAGACAGAGAAUCACGAUGGUUGAGUUCAAAUGGAUUCAAAUGUCUUUAUUUCUGAUAGCGCUGCUUCACUUUACAGCAGCAGCUGAAAAACUCCUCUCUGUCAGAGUUGGAGAUGACGUCACUUUGCCUUGUGAUAAUGUGAUUGAUGGUCAGCAAAGAUGUGAAUAUACUACAUGGCUGUUCAGUGCUUCAGGAAACACAGCAGCAGUAUCGCUGUUUGAACUUGGACGGAUCAAAAACACCGACUCUAAAUCAGACAGACUGAAUGUUACAGAGAACUGUUCUCUGGUUAUAAAGAAGGUCACAGUCGAGGAUGUUGGUCGUUACACCUGCAGACAGUUUAUAUCAGGACAACAACAAGAUCCAGACUCUCAGGUUGAUCUAUCUGUUAUUACCAGUGAGUAUUGACAUCAUAAUGUUUUCAGCUCAAACUGUCUUGUUAGAACAAAAUACUGAAACAUUACAAUAAUUAUGAUUAUAGUGAUGAAGUUCAUUUUACUCUUGUUGUCUUUCUCUCACAAUAUCUCCAUCUUCACCAGUGACUGAACAUAAGGACUCUGAUAAGGUGACAUUAAGCUGCUCUGUGUUGACAUAUGGACAAUGUAAACACACAGUGAAGUGGCUGAAUGAGGGUCAAGAUCUGGAUAAAGAUAACCAAGAAGUGAAGACAUCACAGUCUCCCUGCAAUGUCUCUGUGACCUUUAAGACUUCUCAUUACAUUUACACAUCAAACUAUAAUUCAUUGAAGUGUGCAGUGACUGAUGGUAACAAAGAGCAGUUUCCCUUCAGACUUCAGCCCUCAGCUGAGAAACCAGGUGAGAAUAUAUUGAGCUUCAUAAAGUCACAUCAAACUGAUGUGAAUAAUUAACUAAAAUAUUUAUGUUUUUAUUUUAUUGAUUAAAGUUUUAUUAUUACAUCACAACGCAAGUUUUGUACUGAACAGUUUUUUGAGUUGUGUUUAUCUGUUCAGGUGAGGACACAAUAACAACAACAACUACUACAUCUCCUACAAAACGAACAACAACAAUUCCAAGUACGACAAAAACAACAACAACUGAAAACAGCAUAAAACCAGGAACCAACACGACAUCGUCUCCAAUCAAUGAUACUUCAACAGUACUAAAAGGUAGUGACUCAACAUUUUUUUCUUUCUCUCUCAUUUCAUUAAUUUUCAAUUCAGUACACUGUAUUGGCAUGAGCGUAUUUUAAAA
rnacentral:lncRNA from 15 species